rnacentral:rRNA from 1 species
UACGUAGGGGGCUAGCGUUGUCCGGAAUCAUUGGGCGUAAAGAGCGUGUAGGCGGUCCGGUAAGUCCGCUGUGAAAGUCGGGGGCUCAACCCUCGAAUGCCGGUGGAUACUGUCGGGCUUGAGUACGGAAGAGGCGAGUUGGAAUUCCUGGUGUAGCGGUGGAAUGCGCAGAUAUCAGGAGGAACACCAACGGCGAAGGCAGCUCGCUGGGACGGUACUGACGCUGAGGCGCGAAAGCGUGGGGAGCGAACAGG